AGUGAACGCUGGCGGUAGGCCUAACACAUGCAAGUCGAACGGCAGCACAGUAAGAGCUUGCUCUUACGGGUGGCGAGUGGCGGACGGGUGAGGAAUACAUCGGAAUCUACUUUUUCGGGGGGGAUAACGUAGGGAAACUUACGCUAAUACCGCAUACGACCUACGGGUGAAAGCAGGGGAGCUUCGGACCUUGCGCGAUUGAAUGAGCCGAUGUCGGAUUAGCUAGUUGGCGGGGUAAAGGCCCACCAAGGCGACGAUCCGUAGCUGGUCUGAGAGGAUGAUCAGCCACACUGGAACUGAGACACGGUCCAGACUCCUACGGGAGGCAGCAGUGGGGAAUCUUGGACAAUGGGCGCAAGCCUGAUCCAGCCAUACCGCGUGGGUGAAGAAGGCCUUCGGGUUGUAAAGCCCUUUUGUUGGGAAAGAACAGCAGCAGGUUAAUCCCCCGCUGUUCUGACGGUACCCAAAGAAUAAGCCCCGGCUAACUUCGUG
rnacentral:rRNA from 1 species